UACGAAGGGGGCUAGCGUUGUUCGGAUUAACUGGGCGUAAAGGGUGCGUAGGCGGGCUUUUAAGUCAGGGGUGAAAUCCCAAGGCUCAACCUUGGAACUGCCUUUGAUACUGGGAGUCUUGAGUUCGGGAGAGGUGAGUGGAACUGCGAGUGUAGAGGUGAAAUUCGUAGAUAUUCGCAAGAACGCCAGUGGCGAAGGCGGCUCACUGGCCCGAUACUGACGCUGAGGCACGAAAGCGUGGGGAGCAAACAGG
rnacentral:rRNA from 1 species